AGGACGAACGCUGGCGGCGUGCUUAACACAUGCAAGUCGAGCGGAAAGGCCCUUCGGGGUACUCGAGCGGCGAACGGGUGAGUAACACGUGAGUAAUCUGCCCCUAGCUCUGGGAUAGCUCCGGGAAACCGGGAUUAAUACCAGAUACGACCACUUUAGACAUCUGCUGUGGUGGAAAGAAUUUCGGCUAGGGAUGAGCUCGCGGCCUAUCAGCUUGUUGGUGAGGUAACGGCUCACCGAGGCGACGACGGGUA
rnacentral:rRNA from 1 species